GGUUCGAUCAUGGCUCAGAUUGAACGCUGGCGCAGGAUGCUUACACAUGCAAGUCGAACGGCGCUGGACUUCGGUCUGGUGGCGAGUGGCGAACGGGCAGGUAAUGUAUCGGAACGUGCCUAGUAGCGGGGAUAACUACGCAGCGCGCUAAUACCACAUACGCCCUUCGGGGAAAGCGGGGACCUUCGGGCCUCGCACUAUUGAAGCGGCCGAUAUCGGAUUAGCUAGUUGGUGGGGUAACGGCUCACCAAGGCGACGUCCGUAGCUGGUUUGAAGGGACGACCAGCCACACUGGGACUGAGACACAGCCCAGACUCCUACAGGAGGCAGCAGUGGGGAAUUUUGGACAAUGGGGAAACCCUGAUCCAGCCAUCCCGCGUGUGCGAUGAAGGCCUUCGGGUUGUAAAGCACUUUUGGCAGGAAAGAAACGGCACGGGAUAAUACCCCGUGCAACUGACAACACCUGCAGAAUAAGCACCGGCUAACUACGUGCCAGCAGCCGCCGCCCUUCAACAGUAAUACGUAAAGUGCAGCGUUAAUCAGAUUACUGGGCGUAAAGCGUGCGCAGGCGGUUCGGAAGAAAGAUGUGAAAUCCCCAGAGCUUAACUUUGGAACUGCAUUUUUAACUACCGAGCUAGAGUGUCAGAGGAGGUGGAAUUCCGCGUGUAGCAGUGAAAUGCGUAGAUGCGGAGGAACACCGAUGGCGAAGGCAAAACGCACCUGGGAUAACACUGACGCUCAUGCACGAAAGCGUGGGGGCAAACAGGAUUAGAUACCCUGGUAGUCCACGCCCUAAACGAUGUCAACUAGCUGUUGGGGCCUUCGGGCCUUGGUAGCGCAACUAACGCGUGAAGUUGACCGCCUGGGAAAUACGGUCACGCAAGAUUAAAACUCAAAGGAAUUGACGGGGACCCGCACAAGCGGUGGAUGAUGUGGAUUAAUUCGAUGCAACGCGAAAAACCUUACCUACCCUUGACAUGUCUGGAAUCCCGAAGAGAUUUGGGAGUGCUCGCAAGAGAACCGGAACACAGGUGCUGUGGCUGUCGUCAGCUCGUGUCGUGAGAUGUUGGGUUAAGUCCCGCAACGAGCGCAACCUUGUCAUUAGUUGCUACGAAAGGGCACUCUAAUGAGACUGCCGGUGACAAACCGGAGGAAGGUGGGGAUGACGUCAAGUCCUCAUGGCCCUUAUGGGUAGGGCUUCACGUCAUACAAUGGUCGGGACAGAGGGUCGCCAACCCGCGAGGGAGCCAAUCCCAGAAACCCGAUCGUAGUCCGGAUCGCGGUCUGCAACUCGACUGCGUGAAGUCGGAAAUCGCUAGUAAUCGCGGACCAGCAUGUCGCGGUGAAUACGUUCAGGUCUUGUACACACCGCCCGUCACACCGCUGGGAGUAGGUUUUACCAGAAGUAGUUAGCCCUAACCGUAAGGAGGGCGAUUACCACGGUAGGAUUCAUGACUGGGGUGAAGUCGUAACAAGGUAG
rnacentral:rRNA from 1 species